rnacentral:rRNA from 1 species
AUUGAACGCUGGCGGCAUGCUUUACACAUGCAAGUCGAACGGCAGCGCGGGCUUCUGCCUGGCUGCGAGUGGCGAACGGGUGAGUAAUGCAUCUGAACGUUCCCAGUAUUGGGGGAUAGCCCGUCUACAGCCGGAUUAAUACCGCAUACGACCUGAUGGUGAAAGCGGGGGACCGAUAGGCCUCGCGCUCUUUGCGCGGCCGAUGUCGGAUUAGCUAGUUGGUGGGGUAAAGGCUUACCAAGGCGACGAUCCGUAGCUGGUCUGAGAGGACGACCAGCCACACUGGGACUGAGACACGGCCCAGACUCCUACGGGAGGCAGCAGUGGGGAAUGUUGGACAAUGGGGGCAACCCUGAUCCAGCCAUGCCGCGUGCGGGAAGAAGGCCUUCGGGUUGUAAAACGCUUUUGUUAGGGAAGAAAUACUGUGGGAUAAUACCCCGGGGGGAUGACGGUACCGGAAGAAUAAGCACCGGCUAACUACGUG